CUUACACUUCUGCUGGGGUGACGCUUCCUGACUUUAUGGCUAGUGCUGAGACUAGAAGGGAAGCGAUGUCACUCCUCUUAGGUCACCCUGGGACUUGGUGCAGGAGCGAACUACUGACGCAUUUGAAUGCCGCAUGCUACAUGGCACAUGCGUGUUAUCAUGGAGACUCUAUCCAUGACGUCGAGCGAAUACAAGAGAAAUAUAAUCAGCUCGACGCGAAGUUCAAGGAGAGCGAGAAGGCUCUCGAUAAACUGAAGAAUGUGAGGGCCAGAAUGGAGAACCUCCGUGACAAUAUUCUGCCGAAGAAGGACAAGACCAUCGAGUCCAAGCAGAA
rnacentral:lncRNA from 1 species